rnacentral:rRNA from 1 species
UAUCCUGAGACGCGAGUCCGUGACCGAAAGGUCUGAAGUUGUUGAGUCUAUGCUGCCUAGAAAAGCUUCUAAGUAUAGGACACGCAAACCGUACCGGAAACCAACUCAGGUGGGUGGGAUGAAUAAUCCAAGGCGCUCGAGAGAACUCUGGCCAAGGAACUCGGCAAAAUAACCCCGUACCUUCGGAAGAAGGGGUGCUUUUUAGGGUGAAGCGAUUCACUCUGUCGAGCCCUGAAAAGCCGCAGAGAAAUGGUGGUGGCGACUGUUUACUAAAAACAUAGGUCUGUGCCAAGUCGUAUAGACGACGUAUACGGACUGACGCCUGCCCGGUGCUGGAAGGUUAAAAGGAGGAGUCAGCGCAAGCGAAGCUCCGAAUUGAAGCCCCAGUAAACGGCGGCCGUAACUAUAACGGUCCUAAGGUAGCGAAAUUCCUUGUCGGGUAAGUUCCGACCUGCACGAAUGGCGUAACGAUCUCCACACUGUCUCGGCCAGAGACUCGGUGAAAUUGAAGUCGCGGUGAAAAUGCCGUGUACCCGCAGAAAGACGGAAAGACCCUGUGCACCUUUACUAUAGCUUGACAUUGGGAUUUGAGCCUGCAUGUGUAGCAUAGGUGGGAGGCUGUGAACUCUGUACGCCAGUAUGGAGGGAGCCAUCGUUGAAAUACCACCCUUGUUUGUUCAGGUCCCUAACUCUUCGCCGUGAUCCGGUAAGAGGACAGUGUCUGGUGGGUAGUUUGACUGGGGCGGUCGCCUCCCAAAAUGUAACGGAGGCAUGCAAAGGUUCCCUCAGGCUGAUUGGAAACCAGCCGUCGAGUGCAAACGCAAAAGGGAGCUUGACUGCAAGAGAGACAUCUCGAGCAGGUACGAAAGUAGGUGUUAGUGAUCCGGUGAUCCCGAAUGGAAGGGUCAUCGCUCAUUGGAUAAAAGGUACGCCGGGGAUAACAGGCUGAUCGCAUCCAAGAGUUCACAUCGACGAUGCGGUUUGGCACCUCGAUGUCGGCUCAUCACAUCCUGGGGCUGAAGCAGGUCCCAAGGGUACGGCUGUUCGCCGUUUAAAGUGGUACGCGAGCUGGGUUUAAAACGUCGUGAGACAGUUUGGUCCCUAUCUUCUGUGGGCGUAGGAGAAUUGAAAGGGCCUGUCCCUAGUACGAGAGGACCGGGAUGGACACACCACUGGUGGACCUGUUGUCGUGCCAACGGCACAGCAGGGUAGCUAUGUGUGGAAGGGAUAACCGCUGAAAGCAUCUAAGCGGGAAGCCUGCCUUAAGAUAAGUUCUCCCUGACGCAAGUCCUGAAGGGCCGAGGUAGACGACCUCGUUGAUAGGCUGGAGGUGGAAGCCCUGUGAGGGGUGGAGCUGACCAGUACUAAUAGCCCGUGCGUCUUGUUU